rnacentral:rRNA from 1 species
GACGAACGCUGGCGGCGUGCUUAACACAUGCAAGUCGAACGGAAAGGCCCUGCUUUUGUGGGGUGCUCGAGUGGCGAACGGGUGAGUAACACGUGAGUAACCUGCCCUUGACUUUGGGAUAACUUCAGGAAACUGGGGCUAUUACCGGAAAGGAGCUCCUGCUGCAGGGUGGGGGUGGGAAAGUUUCGGCGGUUGGGGAUGGACUCGCGGCUUAUCAGCUUGUUGGUGGGGUAGUGGCUUACCAAGGCUUUGACGGGUAGCCGGCCUGAGAGGGUGACCGGCCACAUUGGGACUGAGAUACGGCCCAGACUCCUACGGGAGGCAGCAGUGGGGAAUAUUGCACAAUGGGCGGAAGCCUGAUGCAGCAACGCCGCGUGCGGGAUGACGGCCUUCGGGUUGUAAACCGCUUUCGCCUGUGACGAAGCGUGAGUGACGGUAAUGGGUAAAGAAGCACCGGCUAACUACGUG